rnacentral:rRNA from 1 species
AUUGAACGCUGGCGGCAUGCCUUACACAUGCAAGUCGAACGGUAACAGGCCGCAAGGUGCUGACGAGUGGCGAACGGGUGAGUAAUGCAUCGGAACGUGCCCAGUUGUGGGGGAUAACUGCUCGAAAGAGCAGCUAAUACCGCAUACGACCUGAGGGUGAAAGCGGGGGAUCGCAAGACCUCGCGCAAUUGGAGCGGCCGAUGUCAGAUUAGGUAGUUGGUGGGGUAAAGGCCUACCAAGCCGACGAUCUGUAGUCGGUCUGAGAGGACGACCAGCCACACUGGGACUGAGACACGGCCCAGACUCCUACGGGAGGCAGCAGUGGGGAAUUUUGGACAAUGGGCGCAAGCCUGAUCCAGCAAUGCUGCGUGCAGGAAGAAGGCCUUCGGGUUGUAAACUGCUUUUGUCAGGGAAGAAAUCCUCUGGGUUAAUACCCCGGGGGGAUGACGGUACCUGAAGAAUAAGCACCGGCUAAUUACGUGCCAGCCGCCGCCGUAACAC